rnacentral:rRNA from 1 species
UACGUAGGGCGCGAGCGUUGUCCGGAAUUAUUGGGCGUAAAGGGCUCGUAGGCGGCUUGCCACGUCUGACGUGAAAUCCCUCAGCUUAACUGGGGAACUGCGUCUGAUACUGGAUGGCUUGGAUUUGGGAGAGGGAUGCGGAAUUCCAGGUGUAGCGGUGAAAUGCGUAGAUAUCUGGAGGAACACCGGUGGCGAAGGCGGCAUCCUGGACCAAUAUUGACGCUGAGGAGCGAAAGCUAGGGGAGCAAACGGG